ACGAGAAUCUAUGGAAAGAGGAUUCGUCCAAUUGAAAUAGAGGACAGUGGCGGACGGGUGAGUAACGCGUGAGGAACCUGCCUUUCAGAGGGGGACAACAGUUGGAAACGACUGCUAAUACCGCAUAACGCGUAGAGGUCGCAUGGCCUUUACGCCAAAGAUUUAUCGCUGAAAGAUGGCCUCGCGUCUGAUUAGCUAGUUGGUGAGGUAACGGCCCACCAAGGCGACGAUCAGUAGCCGGACUGAGAGGUUGAACGGCCACAUUGGGACUGAGAUACGGCCCAGACUCCUACGGGAGGCAGCAGUGGGGAAUAUUGGGCAAUGGGCGCAAGCCUGACCCAGCAACGCCGCGUGAAGGAAGAAGGCUUUCGGGUUGUAAACUUCUUUUGUCAGGGACGAGCAGAAGACGGUACCUGACGAAUAAGCCACGGCUAACUACGUGCCAGCAGCCGCGGUAAUACGUAGGUGGCAAGCGUUGUCCGGAUUUACUGGGUGUAAAGGGCGUGUAGCCGGGUCGGCAAGUCAGAUGUGAAAUCCACGGGCUUAACUCGUGAACUGCAUUUGAAACUGUUGAUCUUGAGUAUCGGAGAGGCAAUCGGAAUUCCUAGUGUAGCGGUGAAAUGCGUAGAUAUUAGGAGGAACACCAGUGGCGAAGGCGGAUUGCUGGACGACAACUGACGGUGAGGCGCGAAAGCGUGGGGAGCAAACAGGAUUAGAUACCC
rnacentral:rRNA from 1 species